GUUUAUGUGUCUUUGUAGCAGAGACGGAAUGGAAAUUCCAUCCCUCCAGUAUCUCUGUUGUAGCUAGCUGGUAUGCAAUGAAAUGUCGCUUGCUACUGAAGUUUAGUUGGCUAGUAUUAAGCCAUAGAAAAUAUUUGGGCUAUGUUAUAUAAAUGGACGUAUGUUUUCUACUUUAUUAUGUAUGUAAAAACAUAGGUCGACAAGACGGAGCCAUGAAGAACAGACAGCAUGGUUGUUCAGGAGAGGGUUUUAAAACCGUCACUGUUGAUUGGCCAGACAGCAACUGUACCACUGAAGAACGUUAGCAAGUUAGCGAGCUAGCUAAGUGUGCUGAGACUUGCGUUACAUCGACGGACUUCCAUCGCCUGUUCCAAUACGGUUCGUGAGUGUACGGUAAAAACUUGCCAUAACAAACACAAGGAAUGGGUCAGAUAUAAUGUUUCACCAACUUCCAUUGAGAGAUCCGGACCGAUUGAGACUAUGGCUAGUUACCCUGAACAUUGACGCCAAUACUCCGACUGACGACCUCCGAAAGUUACUAGUAUGCUCAGAACAUUUUUCCCGGGGACUAUUAUGAGAGAAUGGAACUGUCAAGCAGUAAGAUUAAAAGUUAUGUCCCAUCAGUGGGCAUUCUAUGCACAACAUGUAGGCAAACCAUAUAAACGGACAUAUGUUUUCUAAUUCUUUAUUAUUGUGUUAAGAGGGAGCCAUGAAGGACAGAUAUCAUGGUUGGUCAGGAGAGGGUAUUAACACAGUCACUGUUGAUAGGCCAGAAGGCAGCAGUGCCACUGAAGAAUGUUGUCCGUCCAUUGAGGAGGACCAGUGUGUGAACAUUCAGCCCAGAAGCUCAGAUGAGUCGAACCACGGAGAACAGGUUAUGAUGCUGCUGUAUGAGAUAAGUUUCAGCAUGCAUAUGAAGUCAAACACACUUCAUCAUGUAGCCAAUAACACUGACCUCUGUUUUCAUUUGAAUUAGGUGAGUGAAGUGUCAGUGGUCCUUCCGUGUGAAUACAGAAACAUAGACGACAGUUGUUCCCUGAGGAUGGAAAGGAAUGGGUCUGUGAAGCAGGAGAAGUGUUGCCUCCUAUAGCGAGGAAGAGAAGAAGCUGUUGGCUGCCAUGGUGUUUGAGAAGGGGGAACUGGGGCUGACUGGCUCUCUGGUGAUGGAGGUGACUGAGGAUCCACAGGACAGUGAUGCAUUCACUGCACCCAACAGGGAGGAAAGGGCUCUGCACCUAGAGGAGGAGCAAGGAGAUGAGAGACAGACGGAUGAAGGGACUGCCCAGCAGAGAGGAGCGGCAGGCUAAUGCUGAGUGGGAACCCUCAGUGGAGCAGGAGGUGACUUUAGAUUCUGUGUGUGUGUGUGUGUGAGAGAGAGACUGCGUGCGAGAGAGACGGCGCGAGCGAGCCUACACUCCACGCCGACACAAGAAGCUGUGUGUGUGAUGGCCAGCCUGAGGAGCCGGUUGGGUUUGACAAACUCUGCAUGCGGUUUAACGACCUCGACAGUUAUGAGGAGCACGUCCGUUGAGAGCACUCCAAACGUUCACGGCAUCUCUGUCCUGUGGACUCCUCAUCUCAACGUUAGUCAGUGUGGGGCAUCAGUGUGAACAAGUUCAAGCUGUUCCGCUGUUAUGUCUGUGGGAAGCGCUGUGUGGAUGAAGCUGGCCUCAAGCAUCACCAGAGGCUUCACCAUCAAGAGCAUGUCUACUGUAAGUUCUGCCUCAAGCCAUUCAAGGCCAGGGAAGACAAGUGGACCCACGAGAAGGACGACCACCGGGUCAAAAAGUUGCACUAUAGGUGCUCCAAAUGCCCCUUGGGAUUUUACAACAUCUUGAAACGGAACCACCAUCUCAGAGAGCAUGAGUCCAAGAGACAUUUGUAACACGUGCUACAAGGAGUUUCCCCAACUUAGCAAGCUUGAGAGGCACGAGCUGAGCCACAGUGACAACAAAUCCUUCAGGUGUCAGGUGUGCCAGCGUUCCUUUGCCCAGCUCAGCCAGCUGAAGUCUUACCUGCACGUCCACACUGGGGAGAAGCCCUUCAAAUGCCAGCGCUGCGUCUAGAGCUUUAACCACAACGUCAGCCUCAAGAACCUCGUCACACGCUAUCACCAAGGGGAGAGUGGGGAGGGAGUGGAGGUGGGAGAGCGGAGGAGCAGGCGACAGAGGAAUCGACAGUUGAACUAUGACCCUGAGGAGGAGGAGCGUCAGAAUGAGAGUGAUUCUGACUUUGACCUGGAGGAAGAGGAGAAGACAAGGAGUAAAGGGAAAGGUAGUGGAGGAGGGGGGCACUGGUAGAGGCCUCUAGGAGAGAUACAUGUGGACACUGCUGUUGAAAAGCUGGACACAUUACCAUCACCACCCCAGAGAGAACCAGACCAGAACAAGGAGCCACCUACCGGUGUCAUUAAAAAAAGUCUUAUCGGUUUUGUCAUGACCAUAAUGUUUUGGCCUUGAACAUUUCUUAGAACUCUUGAAGCUGUUGUUUUUUCACUUCUACAGUUUUGGUUUAAAAAUAUAUAUUGUUAAAGAAAAUGUUUCACUGUUCUACAUCAUCAAAUAUCCAGGAACAAUCUGAUGGGUUUGUAAAGUGAAUAUGUUACAAAGAAUUUCCUCCCCACAGAUGUUAUUGGCUGAUAUAUUGCAUUUUGAGUUCUCCUGGCUGGAACAGCCCACUAGUUAAGAAGCACAGAGAAACCCAUCUUGGAUAUAACCAGCGAGGAAGCAAGAGGCUUGACUCCGCUCUAAAGUCUGUCAGUGCGAAAGUACAGUGUUAACCAGUGGAAGUGGGGAUUUUUUGAGAGAAUGUCGAAUUUGGUCAACAGUUAAAUAAAGGUUACAUAAAAAUAAAUAAAACAUAACAUUUCUAA